rnacentral:lncRNA from 1 species
GGUUUAGGAUUUAGGGUUUGAGAUUUGGGGAUUGGGAUUUAGGAUUGAGGGUUUAAGAUUUAGGAUUUGGGGUUUUAGUGUUUUAGGAUUUAAGGGUUUAGGAUUUAGGGUUUAGGAAUUUGGGGUUUAGGGCUUUGGAUUUAAGAUUUAGGAUUUACGGUUCGGGGUUUAGGGUUUAGGGUUCAAGAUUUAAGGGUAUAGGAUUUAGGGUUUAGGGUUAAGGAUUUAAAAUUUAGGGUUUAGGAUAUAGGAUUUAGGGUUUGGGGUUUAGGGUUCAAGAUUUUAGGGUUUAGGGAUUUAGGAUUUAGGGUUUAAGGGUUUAGGAUUUAGGAUU